UACGUAGGGCGCAAGCGUUGUCCGGAAUCAUUGGGCGUAAAGAGCUCGUAGGCGGCCUGUUGCGUCCGCUGUGAAAUCCCGGGGCUUAACCCCGGGCGUGCAGUGGAUACGGGCUGGCUGGAGGCAGGCAGGGGAGAACGGAAUUCCUGGUGUAGCGGUGAAAUGCGCAGAUAUCAGGAGGAACACCGGUGGCGAAGGCGGGUCUCUGGGCCGUAACUGACGCUGAGGAGCGAAAGCGUGGGGAGCAAACAGG
rnacentral:rRNA from 1 species